CUACUUUCCUAACAGCAACGUGAUGUCCUCCGACCGAAUCGACGACGACGCUCGCACCGUAGCUCGUGCUCUUACCCAACACUGGUUACAAAAUACGGGAAAUGAGUCAUUUGUCACGCGGGAUUUUCCUAGGAGAUGGAAAAACAGCUGAGUGUUGGCUUCGAAUAAUAGUCGAAAAAAAAAAGAUUUGUCAAGAUGGUUGUGACGAGCCAUCACGACAUAUAUUUCCUGGUCUUUCUCCGUUGUCCCUCGCGUGCAGCAUCAUUAACACCCUAACUACUUAAGAAGGUAAUAAAUGAGAUAAAAAUCGCUUAGGGGGUUACGAUAUUUUCUAGGGUUGUAUUUGGGAAAUGAAGAAAAAAAGAAAUAUCAUUUCUUUUUCCCUCUGCCCAACUGUUGAUACAAUCCUGACAGCUCAUCAGUAGCCUUUCUUUCUUUCUCACAUAAGCAAUGUAUCUGGUUGGGUGAGUCAGCACACACAGGCACAAGAAACGAGUCUUGAUGAAUAAUGCAUGAGGAAUCUGAACACCCAUUUCGAAGAGAAAUAUUCGUUCUUUGUGUGUAUGUGUGGGGUAGGAAAACUUUUUACGUGGGUAAAGAAAAAAGAAGGUCUAUAUGUUUUUAGCUGAGCUGCUGUAUAAGUUCUUUGGCAUCACGAGGUUCUGGAAACACAUCUAACCUUUGGCCUGCAUCAUCACGUUUUACGACUUGUGGUCUAAAAUUCGUUUUAAAGAAAAUUCUAUUUUAUUUUUAUACUAGUCUUUCCUUUUCGCCGGUUAAGAGUUUUUUUUACCGCUAAGAGCUUUCCCGAUCGUAAAAAUCUCUUUUUUUUCUUUACUAUUUUGGUGGAGAUGUAAUCUAUCCCGUAGAGUUUUGACACGUCGUUUCCUUUGAUAUAUAAAUAGGCCUAUACUGAAUUAAAAUGUUGAUACAAUCUCGUGUCAUUAAAUUCGUAGAGAUAAAUCUCUCAAUGUCAUGAAAUUGGUGACCGACCAUGUAAUUCUCUACAUUUUAAUUCUUCCAGGUGGGACAUGAGACAUGCACCUUUGGUGCACGUCCCAUAAAAAAACAUAAAUUUUCUUUCUUUUUUUUUAUUAUCAGAUAUAAAACGAAAUUCUAUACAGCCCCCCGUUUGUAAUAAAAACACGCGUUUAUUCUUUUUGUGCGUGAUCCGUCAAUCUGUGGAAUCCACACAAACUCCAUAACAAGAAAAGGUCUUGUAAACUCCUAGGAAUAAUGUUGUUCAUUAGUCCGUGUAUCUACUUUCUUUUAUCCAACAACGUUGAUGGACAUGUGGAUAGAACAACGAAAAUGAGAGGUUGAUAAAUAGCCGACUGGUUUAUUUCAGCACUUUUUUUCCCCGACGAUAAGCGACGAUGGGUAUAAGGAGGGGAGAACUAGAAAGAAAAAAAAAGGAAAAUUUCCCUAUCAAAACAUUGAUCCUCUCAAAGCUCUCCGACUGCCCCCUCUCAGAAAACGACUUGGCAGCUCGCGAGCCACUUUGAAGCCCGCAGACAUGUAUAUUCAAAAAGAAGAAAAAAAGAAAAACAAGUGAUUUAUGAGCCACGAAAGCCGAGAAAUCCUUCCGAUAUACGAACAUACGUAAGUUUUCUCUCACACCCAGUUCUUAGCUAUUAUAUGCCCUACUACAGGCAAAAAUGCCUCUACUUAUAGAAAGAAAAAUAGACCUAUCCCCUCUCCUGUAUGUGUAUACCAUUAACCUUACCACAGAGGGGCUUAUUCAAACUUUUUAAUUCCUAGUGUUGAAUAAUAAAAUAGGCCCUGACGUGUAGCAGCUGCUGGCUACAACAUUUCCCAACGACCACGAUUGAAAAAAUGUGACCUACACCGGUAGGUCU